rnacentral:rRNA from 1 species
GAAAGAUUCAUCGGAAGAGGAUGGGCAUGCGGCGCAUUAGCUAGACGGCGGGGUAACGGCCCACCGUGGCGACGAUGCGUAGGGGUUCUGAGAGGAAGGUCCCCCACACUGGUACUGAGACACGGACCAGACUCCUACGGGAGGCAGCAGUGAGGAAUAUUGGUCAAUGGGAGAGAUCCUGAACCAGCCAAGCCGCGUGAGGGAAGACGGCCCUAUGGGUUGUAAACCUCUUUUGUCGGAGAACAAAACCCGGGACGUGUCCCGGACUGCGUGUAUCCGAAGAAAAAGCAUCGGCUAACUCCGUGCCAGCAGCCGCGGUAAUACGGAGGAUGCGAGCGUUAUCCGGAUUUAUUGGGUUUAAAGGGUGCGUAGGCGGUCCGUUAAGUCAGCGGUAAAAUUGCGGGGCUCAACCCCGUCGAGCCGUUGAAACUGGCAGACUUGAGUUGGCGAGAAGUACGCGGAAUGCGCGGUGUAGCGGUGAAAUGCAUAGAUAUCGCGCAGAACUCCGAUUGCGAAGGCAGCGUACCGGCGCCAGACUGACGCUGGGGCACGAAAGCGUGGGGAUCGAACAGGAUUAGAUACCCUGGUAGUCCACGCAGUAAACGAUGAAUGCUGGUUGUCCGGGUCGAAUGAGAUCUGG